rnacentral:sRNA from 1 species
CCAGUGUCGAGCUUGCAGAAGCUGUGAACCUUGCAAUGAAAGGUACAGACAUCUUGACCCUGGUGGGCCGCUGCCCCAGUACCCCUUGGCCCACCUGCCACGGCUACCUACAUAAGAGGACUCACUCCGGGAUCGUGAAGGGUUGGAGAAAGAGGUGGUUUGUGCUGAAGUAUGAUGGAUGCCUCUACUAUUACAAACAUAACAAGGAUGAAGGAAAAUGGCCACCUCUAGAAGUAAUA